rnacentral:rRNA from 1 species
AGUGAACGCUGGCGGUAGGCCUAACACAUGCAAGUCGAACGGCAGCACAGUAAGAGCUUGCUCUUACGGGUGGCGAGUGGCGGACGGGUGAGGAAUACAUCGGAAUCUACUUUUUCGUGGGGGAUAACGUAGGGAAACUUACGCUAAUACCGCAUACGACCUACGGGUGAAAGCAGGGGAUCUUCGGACCUUGCGCGAUUGAAUUAGCCGAUGUCGGAUUAGCUAGUUGGCGGGGUAAAGGCCCACCAAGGCGACGAUCCGUAGCUGGUCUGAGAGGAUGAUCAGCCACACUGGAACUGGAACACGGUCCAGACUCCUACGGGAGGCAGCAGUGGGGAAUAUUGGACAAUGGGCGCAAGCCUGAUCCAGCCAUACCGCGUGGGUGAAGAAGGCCUUCGGGUUGUAAAGCCCUUUUGUUGGGAAAGAAAAGCAGCAGGUUAAUACCCCGCUGUUCUGACGGUACCCAAAGAAUAAGCACCGGCUAACUUCGUG